rnacentral:rRNA from 1 species
CAUGCAAGUCGAACGGCAGCACAGGAGAGCUUGCUCUCUGGGUGGCGAGUGGCGGACGGGUGAGGAAUACAUCGGAAUCUACUUUUUCGUGGGGGAUAACGUAGGGAAACUUACGCUAAUACCGCAUACGACCUACGGGUGAAAGCAGGGGACCUUCGGGCCUUGCGCGAUUGAAUGAGCCGAUGUCGGAUUAGCUAGUUGGCGGGGUAAAGGCCCACCAAGGCGACGAUCCGUAGCUGGUCUGAGAGGAUGAUCAGCCACACUGGAACUGAGACACGGUCCAGACUCCUACGGGAGGCAGCAGUGGGGAAUAUUGGACAAUGGGCGCAAGCCUGAUCCAGCCAUACCGCGUGGGUGAAGAAGGCCUUCGGGUUGUAAAGCCCUUUUGUUGGGAAAGAAAUCCAGCCGGCUAAUACCUGGUUGGGAUGACGGUACCCAAAGAAUAAGCACCGGCUAACUUCGUGCCAGCAGCCGCGGUAAUACGAAGGGUGCAAGCGUUACUCGGAAUUACUGGGCGUAAAGCGUGCGUAGGUGGUCGUUUAAGUCUGUUGUGAAAGCCCUGGGCUCAACCUGGGAACUGCAGUGGAAACUGGACGACUAGAGUGUGGUAGAGGGUAGCGGAAUUCCUGGUGUAGCAGUGAAAUGCGUAGAGAUCAGGAGGAACAUCCAUGGCGAAGGCAGCUACCUGGACCAACACUGACACUGAGGCACGAAAGCGUGGGGGAGCAAACAGGAUUAGAUACCCUGGUAGUCCACGCCCUAAACGAUGCGAACUGGAUGUUGGGUGCAAUUUGGCACGCAGUAUCGAAGCUAACGCGUUAAGUUCGCCGCCUGGGGAGUACGGUCGCAGACUGAAACUCAAAGGAAUUGACGGGGCCCGCACAGCGGUGGAGUAUGNNGUUUAAUUCGAUGCACGCGAGANNUACCUGG